GUUGGACCCCCUGAUUUAGGUAGCAUGUGCACACAAAAGCAAGGUAUUAAACUGAUGAUUUGGUUGGGUUUGAACGAUUAAUUUAUCUGCUUCCAUUGAAAUCAAAUUUAAAAUGAACAUUUUGUUAUCAAUUAUGAAUCUUAAUUGACACAUUUUAAUCAACAGAAGUGUAUACUGUGGAGAGAUCGAAGUGAGAGAGUUUCAAGUUGAGACUCCGAAAAUGAGGAAUAAAGGCGAUCAUAGGAGGAAGAGUUUUUUAAUCAUAUGAGUAUGAAUAAAUGUCAGUGACAACACCACCAAGGCAUUUGAAGGUGAAAGUGGCAAUUGCAGGACUGUUCUGCAAGCAUUACAACAGUUACUACAAGAUCCCCAACAGUUGCACCAUCUCUAUAGAGGCUGUCGGGAAAGUCCGUUGUUUCUCACAGGACAGGUACGAGUAACAUAUGCCGCCUGGAUGGGGAAAGCAUCGGGCAGAGAUGGUGGAAGGGAAUGAAAGGGAAAUGAGGCAGGCGCAUAUGUCUGAGUGCAUCCUGGGAAUACCGGGAUGAAAAAACAAUAUGUUAAAAACCCUAAAUGUUUAAUGCUGGAGCUUUACCUUAAGUAUUGUUCAAUGAAAUAACUCUUAAUACAAGUCUUAUUUUGUUUGUUUAUUUAUACAGUGACAGUCUGUGUGUUUUAUGGCAUGUCUAUGUAUUAUAACUUGUACUUUUUGAUAAUACUGUUCAGGGGUAUUAUCCACAUUCUGUGAUAACCCUAUUGUUUAAAUAUUUUAAGCCCUGAUAAUAAUAAUAACAAUUUGCAAGAUCAAAUGGCUUAUUUUCUUAUGUAGGAAUUUGUGAGUAUAUAAUAUGCCUGUAGGUUUACGGUAGAUUUUCUCUGAAUUAUUAUUUUUUCUCUCUGU